GGACCCCCAGACCCCCUGUCACCCACUGAUGACCAGGUACCAGGUUGAUUGAGCUGACCCGGCUGGCCCAGGGGGUGUCCACUUCCCCCUCAAUGCUCCGUGUGCAUCCCUACCAAAGCUGCACCCUGGCUGAAGAGGGUGAUCUUCCCCAUGGAGAUGGUGCUGUUCAUUGGUCAAGGGUAUACAGCAGCCCUGCCCCCUGCUAGAACCAGCCUCCAAACAAGCUCAAGGUUUAUGGCUAUUUAUAUUGUAACUGCAGUUUCUCUAAUGAUUUUGCAGUGACCUGCCAGAGAUCCAAAGAAAAUAUUU
rnacentral:snRNA from 1 species